UCUUACUAUAACCGCAAAAACGACCUUCCCAAGGAGGAAACCUCCUCACAGAAAAAACUACUAAAGAUUCUCUGUUUCACUUUCUAUUUAUAAACGUACUGCUUCACUUUAGAUUCAGCUUCGAUUUUUUUUAACAUGCUUGAGGAAUCAGCUUGGCGUCCAUGAAGCUUCCCCUGUUUUCAAGCUCCCGAUAUUCUCCUUUCUCUUUUGGAUUUUAUCGAAACAAACUGUGAUCAAUAAGUUUGAAGUUAGACGAUGAAUCCGUAUUUUCCGGUGAAGGAAGAGUACCCGAACUCGAGUUAUUUACAGUCCGACGAUGACCCGUCGGCGAUGAUGAUGAUGCCGGCGCCGCAGCCGAUGGAGGGUCUUAAUGAGUCGGGGCCGCCGCCAUUUCUCACGAAGACUUUCGACAUUGUUGAUGAUCCUAGUACUAAUUACAUAGUUUCUUGGAGCAGAGGAGGCAACAGCUUUGUUGUGUGGGAUCCUCACGCUUUCUCCACUAGUCUUCUUCCUCAAUACUUCAAGCACAAUAAUUUCUCUAGUUUUGUUAGGCAACUCAAUACUUACGGUUUUAGAAAGACUGACCCAGACAAAUGGGAAUUUGCCAAUGAAGGGUUUCUAAAGGGGCAUAGGCAUCUACUGAAGAACAUUAGGAGGAGAAAGACAACAUCUCAGCCCCUACUAUCUAAUCAAGCUUCGGGUCCGUGCAUCGAAGUUGGCCGAUUCGGACUAGACGGUGAAGUCGAUCGAUUGAAGCGCGACAAGCAGGUACUAAUGAUGGAAUUAGUGAAGCUUAGACAGCAACAGCAGACGACUCGAGCUUACAUUCAAGCCAUGGAAGAAAGGUUGCAAGGAACCGAGAAGAAACAGCAGCAAAUGAUGUCGUUUCUAGCUAGAGCAAUGCGGAAUCCGGCUUUUAUCCAGCAGUUGAUGCAACAAAAGGAUAAAAGAAAGGAGCUCGAAGAAGCGAUGUCGAAGAAACGGAGGCGGCCUAUUGAUCGCCCACCCGUUGGAGUCGAUGUAGGCGAAUCGAGCAUGAUAAGUCCAGUUAAAACCGAGCCUUCUGAGUACGGUGAUUACGGAUACCAAGUGACGGAGUUGGAAGCAUUGGCACUGGAAAUGCAAGGAUAUGGUAGGGCAAGGAGGGACCAUGAGGAAACACAAGAUGAUUUCCAACACCAGGAUAAAGAACUCGACGAAGGGUUUUGGGAAGAGUUGCUGAAUGAGAGAUUCGAAGGCGAUUACGAUAUACCGGGAACCGAAGGCGCCGAUGAUGAAGAUGUGAGUGUAUUGGCUGACCGAUUGGGAUACUUGGGUUCAAGUCCAAAGUAGCAUCAGUUCCUCUUAUUUUUCUGCAAAAUGGGUCUUCAAAAACACACAAUUAGGCCAUGAUAUUUCACAUUGCUUUGAUGGUUUCUUGGGACUUGGCAGGCAGGACUGGGAAAACAAAAAGAACAAUAUAUCCAUGGAAAAUCUCCCUUGUUACUGGUGUUUCUAACCCUGUUUGCCCCCCUUUUUGUAUAUCCUUUUUGCAGCUUAAUUUUCUGUCUUUGGUUUAUGUUAUUGCAGCUAGCUUUGUAGAUCAGAAUCUGAUGUGUUCAUCGAUCAUGACUUGUUUCACAAGAUUGUUCUGAAGCUGUUGAAAAUCGACAAGAUGUAGCCGCAAGUUGCAAAGAAUUCCAAUGAUCACUGGGUAUUGUUUUACGUACAAAUUCAUUAAUGUAAAA